GGCGCACGGGUGAGUAACACGUAGGUAAUCUACCUUCGGGUGGGGAAUAACCCAGGGAAACUUGGGCUAACACCGCAUAAUGCAGCGGCACCACAUGGUGACAGUUGUUAAAGCGGGGGAUUUUAGGACCUCGCGCCUGAAGAGGAGCCUGCGGCAGAUUAGCUAGUUGGUAAGGUAACGGCUUACCAAGGCGACGAUCUGUAACCGGCCUGAGAGGGCGGUCGGUCACACUGACACUGACAUACGGGUCAGACUCCUACGGGAGGCAGCAGUCGGGAAUUUUGGGCAAUGGGCGAAAGCCUGACCCAGCAACGCCGCGUGAAGGAUGAAAUCCCUCGGGAUGUAAACUUCGCAAGAUUGGGAAGAAUUAGUAGGGGUUAAUACCCCCUAUGAUGACGGUACCUUUUGUAAGCUCCGGCUAACUCCGUGCCAGCAGCCGCGGUAAUACGGGGGGAGCAAGCGUUGUUCGGAUUUACUGGGCGUAAAGGGCGCGUAGGCGGUCAGCACAAGUCAGUUGUGAAAUCUCCGGGCCUAACUCGGAAAGGUCAACUGAUACUGUGCGACUAGAGUGCAGAAGGGGCAACUGGAAUUCUCGGUGUAGCGGUGAAAUGCGUAGAUAUCGAGAGGAACACCUGCGGCGAAGGCGGGUUGCUGGGCUGACACUGACGCUGAGGCGCGAAAGCCAGGGGAGCGAACGGGAUUAGAUACCCCGGUAGUCC
rnacentral:rRNA from 1 species